rnacentral:tRNA from 2 species
GCCGGGGUGGCGGAACUGGCAGACGCACAGGACUUAAAAUCCUGCGGUGAGAGAUCGCCGUACCGGUUCGAUUCCGGUCCUCGGCACCA